CCCAUAAAGUAGAAAGCACUACUAGACAGGACUGAACGCUGUAGUGUUUCCUACUUUAUGGAUG
rnacentral:pre_miRNA from 2 species